CGAGACGAGAAGCACGCGGUUCGGAUGAAACGUUCGAGGUCACUGUCGCACAGAAGUCGGCUUUGGUUUCGCCGGGAAUUUCGAACGGAUCAACGGCAAUCGAACGGGAUUGCGCCCGAAAUUAUUUUUCUAUCUCCGAGUGACUGAGGGUCUGGAAUAACGUGGUCGUCCGCGCGGAGCUGUUAAAACUCGCGGCGAGACGGAGACAGAGAUGAAGAGGAGGAAGAGGCAAAGAGGUGGAAGAGGAGUCAUGUACAGAACAAGGUAUACACGUAUUACAUUAUUUGGUACAACCAGUCGAUUUCCCAAUAAUGAAGGCUUCAACAACAAUUUAUAAAGAAUCUGUAAACGAAACUCCCAAGCAUUGAACUCCCUUCAUAUUUUAAUUCGAACAAAUUCAGGUUUAAGUAUAAGUUCGAAUCUAUAAUUAUUAUCGAAUGGAAAGCAAGUUUAAAUACAACUUGUAAGCAUGAAGUAAUUCCAACUGAAAAUAUCUUUCAGUUUUUUAAAAUAUUUUUUCCAAAUGAUUGAAAACUCGGAAAAACCAUAUUGACAUAUAGUUUUUCGUUCAUUUUUUGGUAAACUUUGCUCAUAAGUAAACAUCCUUCGAUAUGCUUAUGUUACGCUCAGUAAAUAAUUUAGAAAAAAUGCAGUAAUAUUCGAUAGACCGACAAAAAGGACAGUAAUGAAAAAUUAUCGGAGCCAUUCUACCGACAAUGUGACAUCGUGGACCGUCUCCUUGUAUAUCAUAUCGGCUGGGCGGCCGGUCUUUGUCACAGCGGUUCUCAUUUUCCAAAACGUAUUCUCGGCAAAUCGAGUAUGAAAAAACAAUGAUAUAAGGAAGUACAAUGUAAAUAUUUAUUGUUUUUUUUAAGCGUUCGAAAGUCAAUAAACACGAUUGAUAAAUCACUUGAUACACUCAA